GUCCGAUUAAUCAAUCAAUUUGUAGCAUGGAAGAAUGUAGUACAACAUGAGAAACCCCAGCUGCAUUAGCAGCACAAGCAUAAAUACAUCAGUGAAUUCCAAUACCAUAAUAUUCUCCAAGUAUUAACAGGCACAUCAGAGAAGCUUUGAUAUAAUAUGACGAGAAGCCCAGAAUGCUUUAGUGGCAGCCCUAAGAAUUACUGGGUUUUGGUAUAUCCCAAUGGCAGUUGCCCC
rnacentral:misc_RNA from 1 species